rnacentral:miRNA from 5 species
CAAGCUUGUAUCUAUAGGUAUG